rnacentral:lncRNA from 1 species
CUUAACUUCAGUUAGUGGAUCAAUUGUUUCCCUGGGCAUGUGUUAUUACCGAAGUGUGUUAUCAAGUUCAAAUGUCGUUUUUGUUGUUUAUGUUUAUUUAUGCUCGUCUGAUUGUUCCUGCUUCAUGUAGCAUUUGUUGUGAUGCUCAUCUCAUCAUAUGUUCCAUGGAGUAGCCAAUCAUUUAGUAACCUUUCUAUUUUCAGUAUAAUGACAUUUUAAAAUUACAAAUUGUACAAGCUUUACUUGAAAAGAAAAAAAAACCAUGAGUACCUUUUACAAACUCUGUUUUAAUAACAUAGUAAGAAGAAAAAUCUAAUACUCCCUCCGUCCACGAAAUGAGUACCCAUUUGUG